rnacentral:rRNA from 1 species
CCUACGGGAGGCAGCAGUGAGGAAUAUUGGUCAAUGGACGCGAGUCUGAACCAGCCAUGCCGCGUGCAGGAAGAAGGCUCAAUGUGUUGUAAACCUCUUUUGUCCGGGGGCAAAUCCCGAUACGUGUCUCCGGUUGAAAGUAUCUUACGAAUAAGGAUCGGCUAACUCCGUGCCAGCAGCCGCGGUAAUACGGAGGAUUCAAGCGUUAUCCGGAUUUAUUGGGUUUAAAGGGUGCGUAGGCGGUCCGAUAAGUUAGAGGUGAAAUCCCGGGGCUCAACUCCGGCACAGCCUCUGAGACUGGCGGGCUAGAGUUGAGGUGCGGUAGGCGGAAUGUGUGGUGUAGCGGUGAAAUGCAUAGAGAUCACACAGAACACCGAUUGCGAAGGCAGCUUACCAAACUACGACUGACGUUGAGGCACGAAAGCGUGGGGAGCAAACAGGAUUAGAUACCCUAGUAGUC